GACGAACGCUGGCGGCGUGCCUAAUACAUGCAAGUAGAACGCUGAAGGAGGAGCUUGCUUCUCUGGAUGAGUUGCGAACGGGUGAGUAACGCGUAGGUAACCUGCCUGGUAGCGGGGGAUAACUAUUGGAAACGAUAGCUAAUACCGCAUAAGAGUAGAUGUCGCAUGACAUUUGCUUAAAAGGUGCAAUUGCAUCACUACCAGAUGGACCUGCUUUGUAUUAGCUAGUUGGUGAGGUAACGGCUCACCAAGGCAACGAUACAUAGCCGACCUGAGAGGGUGAACGACCACACUGGGACUGAGACACGGCCCCGACUCCUGCGGGAGGCAGCAGUAGGGGAUCUUCGGCAAUGGACGGAAGUCUGACCGAGCAACGCCGCGGGAGGGAAGAAGGUUUUCGGAUCGUAAAGCUCUGUUGUAAGAGAAGAACGAGUGUGAGAGUGGAAAGUUCACACUGUGACGGUAUCUUACCAGAAAGGGACGGCUAACUACGUG
rnacentral:rRNA from 1 species